UGAAAUAAGACUUCAAGGCCUAGCCAAGAAAACAUCUGUUGAUGGAGAUGGAGACAAGCCCACGUCAGGGAUGGGCAGAGAAGGGAGGUUUUUCGGAGGUAGAUUUAUAGCCAACGAUUGGACAGAUUCUGCGAUUUUCUUGCAGCAAUAGAGCUCUGCCUGUAGGGUUGAAGGAGAAGAUACACCCAGUCCCCUGUCUCAAAAGUCCGUUCCAUCCUCUUCCCGUCUGUGCAUAUUUCUUCAUCCUCACUUGUGCCUUGGCCAGAUUAAAGAUCACCUAUCGGGUGUGCUGCUCGGUGUCCACCCAACACUCGUGCCUUUGACACAUUCUCCCAACAAGGUU